AUUGAACGCUGGCGGCAUGCUUUACACAUGCAAGUCGAGCGGCAGCGCGGGGGCAACCCUGGCGGCGAGCGGCGGACGGGUGAGUAAUGCAUCGGAACGUAUCCCGUAGUGGGGGACAACCCAGCGAAAGCUGGGCUAAUACCGCAUAUGCUCUACGGAGGAAAGUGGGGGACCUGAGAGGGCCUCACGCUAUGGGAGCGGCCGAUGUCCGAUUAGCUAGNGGUGAGGUAAAGGCUUACCAAGGCGACGAUCGGUAGCUGGUCUGAGAGGAUGAUCAGCCACACUGGGACUGAGACACGGCCCAGACUCCUACGGGAGGCAGCAGUGGGGAAUUUUGGACAAUGGGGCAACCCUGAUCCAGCCAUGCCG
rnacentral:rRNA from 1 species